rnacentral:rRNA from 1 species
GCAAGUCGAGCGCUUCACUUCGGUGAGGAGCGGCGGACGGGUUAGUAACGCGUGGGAAUAUACCCUUCACUAUGGAAUAGCCUCGGGAAACUGAGAGUAAUACCAUAUACGCCCUACGGGGGAAAGAUUUAUCGGUGAAGGAUUAGCCCGCGUUAGAUUAGGUAGUUGGUGGGGUAAUGGCCUACCAAGCCUACGAUCUAUAGCUGGUUUGAGAGGAUGAUC